GAUGAACGCUGGCGGCGUGCCUAAUACAUGCAAGUCGAGCGAAUGGAUUAAGAGCUUGCUCUUAUGAAGUUAGCGGCGGACGGGUGAGUAACACGUGGGUAACCUGCCCAUAAGACUGGGAUAACUCCGGGAAACCGGGGCUAAUACCGGAUAACAUUUUGAACCGCAUGGUUCGAAAUUGAAAGGCGGCUUCGGCUGUCACUUAUGGAUGGACCCGCGUCGCAUCAGCUAGUUGGUGAGGUAACGGCUCACCAAGGCAACGAUGCGUAGCCGACCUGGGAGGGUGGUCGGCGACACUGGGACUGAGACACGGCCCAGACUCCUGCGGGAGGCAGCAGUAGGGAAUCUGCCGCAAUGGACGAAAGUCUGACGGAGCAACGCCGCGUGAGUGAUGAAGGCUUUCGGGUCGUAAAACUCUGUUGUUAGGGAAGAACAAGUGCUAGUUGAAUAAGCUGGCACCUUGACGGUACCUAACCAGAAAGCCACGGCUAACUACGUGCCAGCCGCCGCGGUAA
rnacentral:rRNA from 1 species